AAGGCCUUAGCUUAAUUAGAGUGUCUGUGUUGCAUACAGAUGGUGUGGGUUAGUGUCCCGCAGGUCUUA
rnacentral:tRNA from 2 species